UUGAUCUUGACGCGGUCGGAGACGAGGGCGGCGUCGUCGAGGGUGAACUUGAGGGUGUGGUUCCAUUUGGGGCUGGUGCCGCCGUCUUUGUGGACAGGGGUGCGGAGCUUCUGCUUCCUUACGCCGGCGCCGGAGACGGUGACGGCGGCGUAGACGUCCAUCUUGGAGAAGGUGUUGACGUCCUUGAUGUCAUGGGCGCCGAUCAGGGUUAUUUCAAAAGGUCUGCAAUCCAUGGAUGAAGAAAGAUUGAUUGAAAUCUUGGAGUGAUUGAGAAUUUGAGAGAUUUGGAUUUGAGAAUUUGAGAGAAUCAGAAUGAGAGGUAAGGGUUAUAUAUAGGAGUGGAGAAGAAACCGACUGUGGAAGAGGAAUGAGAGGGGAAUGUUCGUUUUCAGGGGUGCAAUGACGGGUUUGCCCUUU
rnacentral:lncRNA from 1 species